rnacentral:lncRNA from 1 species
GAUGAACGGUUGUGGGUUCAGCUCCUGCUUAUGACACUGGGUUUUUUUUAAUCUCAACCAAGACCUUAGAUAAAAAAGUAUAAUUAAUUAAAAUAAUUAAUACAGCCAAUUAUGACUACUUACAAAUAUGGAUUAUAAAUAUUGCUGAAUUAUGAAAAGUUCAUCGGCAAAUUCUUGUAGAAUAAUUCAUAAUAAUGGUACUUAGCAAGAAAUAAAUUGUUCCAAUAGUAUUUACUAUUAAAUAUGAAGUAAUUUGAUCUGAUUGUAAUGGAAGGAUCUGAUUGUUUACAAUUUAUAAACUUGGAAAUAGUUAAUUCGAUUGUACAUUAUGAUUUUUCAGUUACGCAGCGAGAACGAGAACAAAAGAAAACGAUUCGUAAUUAAAAUAUGCACUUAAAUAUUCAAAUGUUUUCAGGUGCCUUGAAAUAUAAAUGCAGCUGUGGUCGAUGCUUUUCGCACAAGAAAAAUCUCACGUAUCAUCAGAAUCACGAGUGCGGCAAGUCUUACUUCUGCGAGCUAUGCGGCAAACAGUACAAAUCAAAAAGAAAUUAUAAUCUACACUUGUAUUUUACACACAAGGUCUAAUUGGAAAAAAAGGAAGGAUUUUGAAAAUAAAAUUAGUAGUUGAAUCAUUAUCCCAUUAAUUUUUGUAGCCUAUGUUUCUUGUUUUUUUUUUUAAGAUGAUCUCUGCUGUUUACAUUUCACAUUGAAAAUGUCCGACUGGCAAUUUUUCUUUUACCAUUCUCCAUUUAAUAAUUUUCUGUUUAGGUGAGAAAUCGUUCUACUGGUGCACUUGCGGACGGAAGUAUGGUUACAUUCACUCACUGAACCAUCACAAGAAGUACGAGUGUGGCAUCAAGUUCCAUUGCAAGAUUUGCAACAAGGACUACUGCUCAAAACAGUCUCUCCGUGUCCACCAGAGCUCCGUGCACAAAUUGGGAAAAGACCAAUAAACUUUUUUUUUAAGUGCAAAUUUCGCCAAGGAAACGCUGACAGUACAAAUCUAAGAAAUGUGUGACGUAUGCUACAAAGACCUUCUGGUGAAAGAUAGCAAGAAAUUAGCUUCAGACACAACAAACUCUAAUAUUUUUUGUUGCAAAUGUUGUAAAAUUUGUUCUCUAGGCUAAUAAAAAUUCCCAUUUUAACAAUUUAUCCUUUUAUUUUAUGGUUUAAAGACAUCUUAUGGAGUAGAAUAAUUAUUGUUCUAUAUUUUCAACUCUCCAAUUAAACACAUGGUUGUUUUUGAAUCAAAAAAAUAUAAAGCCUGUAAGGUUUCAAUGCCUUCAUUUGAUUUUUUUUUUAAAAUAUUUAUAUGCGAUGUGUCCUUGGGUCUCGGGGAAGGCAGAUAUUAAUCGUGAACAACUACAGGUUCUCAUUGUCACACAAAUUAUCCAAUGGGACAAACCAUUGGAGGUGUCACGGUCGCGCUUCACGAUGCAAAGCAGCAAUAUUUGCCACCGAUAAUCUACAAGUGGUAAAAGCGAGGCUUGACCACAAUCACCCAGAAAUCGGUUUUUAUGAGAGAGCUUAUAAAAACGAAAUUCUUUUUAAAAAGGAAUUCAUGUGAAAAAUGUACGAUUAUACCAUAAAUGAACUCAGCUUAACCAAAACCCGAACCAAAACGAUUUUGGUAAAAAAAAAUGGUGUGUGAGAAUUGUGUGUUAUUGCCAAAUAUAGCCGCUAAUUAUGGUGUUGAGAGAUCAACAAUGUGGUAAAACCUAAAUCUAAACUUAAUGAAUACAGUUGUAAAGUCUGAAUCGCGAAAUGAUGAAGCUAGCUAAUCAUGAAAAAAAUUAAUGAAGCACCUUUUCUCUGUUUUACGUUUCAGUGGUGUAGUAUGCAUAUUUGUAUGUAAAAUACAUAGAUUGUUUGGUUUAUGACGGACUAUGUCGUGUUACUUACAAACCGAACAAAAUUAAGACCUAAUUCUUGUGGAUCUUUCCCCGUCCGAAGAAUAGUGGCAAAUAAAUUAAAAAUAAAAAGAUUUGAUUACAAUUAUAUAUAAAAAAAGGACUUUAAUUAAAAUAUAAAAAAGAACAACAACAAAAGAAUAGCAGCUCUUCUGUGCUUCAGAACAUUAUUUUUAAAUAAGAAAGAAAUAGCCAAACACAUUCAUUAAUUUAAAAAAAAAGACCCAAUGGCAUUGAAAAAAAAGUAUGAUGCGAAGAUGACAAAACCUGGAGGUUGGGAAAGCGAUGAAUCGAAGUCAAUGGCUCAAUUGUGGAGAAGGUGAAGACUCGGCGAGUUCAUGGAGUUGAACGAUAGCAGUAAAUGAAAAGGAUGGUUCUAAUCACAAACUGGUUUUGCAGUGAUCCAGAUUUCUAACUGGGAUGCUGGAGGCCCUCCUCGAGAAGUUUAACCUCCAUACUCAGGACUUAGUGACGGGUGUCACAAUGUAUGGCUCUAACCCAGAUUAUGAUUCUGGCUCUGAAACUCAUCUCACUCGGCCAGGAGUGGCAUCGGUUGAAUGGCGAGACUUUGGAGGACCCCGAGUUCUUUUUGACAAGGCAUUGAUGGAUCCUUGUUCCUUGCUGACACGGAUGUGUCUUAAGACCUCGCCUUGUGAGCCUUGGAUGGAUAUGAAGCUGUGGACAAGGGCGUAGAUCUCAGGUCUAGCUGGUUAGGCCUCAGGUGCGAUGUGAUAUUAUAUUAAUACUUCACUUUUCAGUUUCGUCCCAUUGCAAAAUGUAAUAUCAAAUUUAAAAUUUAGAAUGCCGAAUUUUCUUAAGAAUCGCAUAUUAUUUAUUUACUUUGAAAAAUUGUAUAUUUUUGGCUGAACCUGCUUGGAAUACUUUUUUGUACAUCCUGUGUUGAAAUGCUGUGGAUUGUCAUUACUCAUAUAUUGAACAUAUUUUUAGAGAAAUGAAGGAUAAUUUGUCGACAUCAACAGCAUUUUUUCACAAUAGUUAAACGAUAUAUCACAGUAGCGGAUCGACAGUACAUUCACGCCAUUUUGUUUGUUUUUCUUCCUUUUUUCAUGUCUUCUCUGAUCGAAUUUGUUUUUGGUUUUAUUUCAGCAGAGUUCAAGUUAAAAUGUGACUGCGGGCGCAAUUUCAACUACAACAAGCACUUCCAGUACCAUAAAAGAACCGACUGCGGGAAAACGUUUGUUUGUCUCGUUUGUAUGAAAAGUUACAAGAGCAAAGCCAGUCUGACGUUCCAU